GACGUAGGGCGCGAGCGUUGUCCGGAUUUAUUGGGCGUAAAGAGCUCGUAGGCGGUUUGUCGCGUCGUUCGUGAAAACUCACAGCUUAACUGUGAGCUUGCUGUCGAUACGGGCAGGCUAGAGUUCGGUAGGGGAGACUGGAAUUCCUGGUGUAGCGGUGAAAUGCGCAGAUAUCAGGAGGAACACCGGUGGCGAAGGCGGGUCUCUGGGCCGAUACUGACGCUGAGGAGCGAAAGCGUGGGGAGCGAACAGG
rnacentral:rRNA from 1 species